rnacentral:rRNA from 1 species
UCCUUGGUGAUUCAUGAUAACCUAACGGAUCGCAUGGCCUUGCGCCGGCGACGGUUCAUUCAAAUUUCUGCCCUAUCAACUUUCGAUGGUAAGGUAUUGGCUUACCAUGGUUUCAACGGGUAACGGGGAAUUAGGGUUCGAUUCCGGAGAGGGAGCCUGAGAAACGGCUACCACAUCCAAGGAAGGCAGCAGGCGCGCAAAUUACCCAAUCCCGACUCGGGGAGGUAGUGACAAUAAAUACUGAUACAGGGCUCUUUUGGGUCUUGUAAUUGGAAUGAGUACAAUUUAAACCCCUUAACGAGGAACAAUUGGAGGGCAAGUCUGGUGCCAGCAGCCGCGGUAAUUCCAGCUCCAAUAGCGUAUAUUAAAGUUGUUGCAGUUAAAAAGCUCGUAGUUGAAACUUGGGUCUGGCUAGCGGGUCCGCCUCACCGCGUGCACUUGUCCGGCUGGACCUUUCCUUCUGGAGAACCUCAUGCCCUUCACUGGGUGUGUUGGGGAACCAGGACUUUUACUUUGAAAAAAUUAGAGUGUUCAAAGCAGGCCUUUGCUCGAAUACGUUAGCAUGGAAUAAUAGAAUAGGACGUGCGGUCCUAUUUUGUUGGUUUCUAGGAUCGCCGUAAUGAUUAAUAGGGAUAGUCGGGGGCAUCAGUAUUCAAUUGUCAGAGGUGAAAUUCUUGGAUUUAUUGAAGACUAACUACUGCGAAAGCAUUUGCCAAGGAUGUUUUCAUUAAUCAGUGAACGAAAGUUAGGGGAUCGAAGACGAUCAGAUACCGUCGUAGUCUUAACCGUAAACUAUGCCGACUAGGGAUCGGGCGAUGUUUCUAUCUUGACUCGCUCGGCACCUUACGAGAAAUCAAAG